UACAUACCUACCCUACAUACAUACAUAGCCCUAAAAGAGUUUUUCCCCAUAGGCUAAAGAGAUGUCUGUAAAUCAGCUGCUUCGGGUUCUCGCGAUAUGACGAGACAACGUCGGAUUCACAUGUUACACUAGAAUCUGGCGUAUAAGGUUAUCUUCCUCCCUCCAGUUUUAGGAAAGUUUGUUUCAUGUAAAUACUCCCCUUUGUAGGUAAGGCUGAACUGAAGUGAGUUAUCCUCCCUGCCAAGAAAGAGAAAUCUGACGAAAAAGCGGAUGAUGGCUUCAUUCAAAAUGUCUUUUAAAGAACAAGACGAAGGAUAAAGGCCAGAUCAACCGAUAGUAAGGUCUGGAGUUUGGUCAGCGGAGGCCAGGCGAGCGAGGCCUCUCAUUGGUCGGAGAGCAGCAGCAGGAGCAGCCAUCCGAGGCCCAGCAGCGGGGACAGGCGGAGGGGCUCGACUCCAUGGUCCGACAGGCCCGGAGAGGGAAGAGCGGAGUCUCCCUCGUCGCCCCACAAUCUGUCGUUCUCGUUUGCCUUGAAGAAAACGGACACGUGUCACGAUUAGUCAUCCAUUUAUUUUGGUAAAGUAAUAAAACAAAUUCUGUUAUCUGCCUCCAGAUCGCACACCGGGAACAUCUCCUCGGCAAAGGCGGCAACUCAUUUGGGAGGAGAGAUUUCGGGAGCGAGCACGUUAAUAAGUAGACUGAUUGUGAGACCAACCCCCAUGACGUCCUACAUUACGUAAUAGGAAUGAGGGCCAGCUGGCGCCCGUUACCCGAUUGCCGUGGGCAUGGCCGGUCAGCCAGCCGCACCUGCGGCGGAUGAGCCGUUCCGGGCAGUACAAGAGGAGCCGUGCAUCCGAGGCGGUUUGCGUCGUCGGCCAGAGACGGAGGAGUCGGCGCCGGAGGCCAACGGGCCCACCUACUAUCCCCGGUAUUCUGGAUAUCCUCUGUAUCCUCACCAGACCGUGGAGCCUCGCUCAAGUACUCGCAGCCCUGGAACCUCCCCACAGCAAAGGUUAUAAGGUCAAGAAGGAAAAAGUCCAGUGUUGCAGGAGGAAGGUUGCCUUCCUGGGAAGAGAAGUCUCUGCCACAGGUCAGACCCUAUCCAGCCAACAUCGAGAAUCCAUUCUCCAGCAUCCUCGCCCAGAAACAGUACAGGACAUGUUGUCUUUCCUGGGUUGGACGGGGUACAGCAGAAACUAUAUCCCUGAUUACACCCUCCUCAUCCAACCACUCGGAGACCUAGUGGCUGAAGCUGGAAACAGAAACCUAAAUGCUCUCCUCCAAUGGUCUCCUGAAGCUGAAACAGCCUUCUCCCUCACUAAGGAAGCACUCUCCCAGGCCACCAUAUUGGCUGCACCUGACUAAACCAUUCCAUUACAUCUCAAUGUUUCUGUCAAGAACGGACAUGUUCAUGCCGUUCUUUUCCAGAAAAAAGGGGGAGACAGGUUAGUGCUAACCUACCACAGCUCGAAAUUGGACACUAUUGAACAAGGACAAACAUCCUGUGCUCAACAUCUGGCUGCACUAUCGAAAGCUGUCCAAAAAACUACCCACCUGGUCACGCAUCACCCAUUGCAGAUCCACACAGACCACGGAGUGACCGCAUUCCUGCAGAGCAAUGCAUUCACGUUCGGUACCGAACGAAAACUGAAAAUACAGAAGGAGCUGAGACAACCCCACAUCACUUUUGUAACCUCAGCCAUCAAUUUGGCAGACAAAAUGGGACACGGAAAACCCCACAGCUGUGAAGAAGUGGCAGCACAAGAACUGAAACUCAGGCCAGACCUGAAAAACGAACCCCUGCCAGACGCACAACAUUGGCUGUACACAUAAUGGAUGCUGCUACAAAGGAGAAAAUGGAAAUGUGGCUGCUUAUGCGGUGAUGGAACAACACGCAGACGGUACACACACCGAAGUGGACUCGGGAAUAAUACCACAACCUGCAUCAGCACAAAUGGCUGAAAUAUUGGCACUCACAAAAGCACUGCAGUGGUCAGAAGGGAAAAGGGUCAAUAUCUACACAGACUCAGCAUACGCACAUGGAGCGGUGCAUAUAGAUGGACCACAAUGGCAGAAGAGGAAUUUCCUGACCACCAGCAAGGAUCAACUGGUAACCCUACUGGAAGCAGUAAAAGCGCCAGCAGCAGUGGCAAUAACGAAGUGCAAAGGACAUGACAAAGCAGACACAAGGUUGGCAAAAGGAAAUGAAGCAGCAGACCAAAGAGCCAAAGAAGUUGGAGGGUACACUCCCAGACAAAUGACACUACAACCAGAGGGAGGACCAACAGAACUAACAGCAGAAAACAUAAAAGACAUCCAAGAAGAGGCCAUAUGAACAUUCAGAACGGCAGAGAAAAGGAGCACGCAAGGAUAAAGACGGCAUUCGGAGGUCACACACUGGACACACAGUGGCUCCGGCACGGCCCCACCCGUGAGGAAACCAGAAGAACCCUUACAAACAUGAAAGAACUAUGGUGGCACCCAUGGAUGUCAGACAUCAUCACCAACUUUGUGGAAGAAUGUGACACAUGCAACAAACACAAUAACAAGAAACCAUUCAAGGCCCCAGCAGGAAAAUUCCCUGUGCCUACAGCCCCUUUCAAUCACCAUAGAUUUCACAGAUAUGGGGCCAGAGAACAGAGUAGGGGGAAAAAGGUACUGUAUCUCCUUGUAAUGGUAGACAGAUUCACAAAAUGGGUUGAAGCCAUAACAAGUAAAGAUGAAACGGCACAGACAGUUGUAAAAUGGCUGAAAAAUGAACUAGUACCCAGAUAUGGCGUACCACGCACAAUAAGAUCAGACAAUGGAUCUCAUUUUGCUAACAAACAUCUACAGAAAGUAGAAGAGGCAUUAGGGAUCAUACACAGAUAUGGGUCAGUUUAUCAUCCACAAUCACAGGGAUUAGUGGAGAGGGCCAACCAGACACUGAAAAGAAAAAUCGCUAAAGCAUGUGAAGGUACAAAACUAACAUGGGUAGAAGCACUGCCGUUAGCUCUUACGUCCAUGCGCAGUUCCCCAGGAUCUGACACACACUUAUCUCCUCAUGAGUUACUGACUGGAAGAAAAAUGCCAGGCCCACCCAGGGAAACAAGAAUAUGAUGACUACAUGAAGGCAUUGAACAGGUCGCCAGAGCACAGACCCCGGGAGAAGAGGAGCCCCGGAGCAGUGUCAAGGUAGGUGACUGGGUGCGAGCGAAAGUCCACAAGAGAAAGUGGACCGAGCCCAGGUGGCUCGGACCGUACGAAGUGAGGGAGGUUACGGCAGGUUAAGGCAGGAGCUGCUUGCCACCACCUGACACAUUGUGCCCCAGCACCUACACCUUCCCGUGAUUUGAGGGAAGUUAGAGCUGAUUUGAUCAACAAUGCCACUCCCGUUCAAACUUAGGCACUCAGGCCAAGGGAGUGAACCCAGACUAUGGAUGCACACGGAAGGUCUGGGUAGGUAUGCUAAUAUCUACAGCCAUACUCGUUAUGUUGUUAUUUUGGUUCAUAGAUACCAAAUAUGACAGAGGAAGAAGGGAGGUUCAGGUGACUAGAACAAAGGGACAGAUCACAUUGUCAUUUAUUAGGGGACACACAAGCACAGCCCUAUUAGACCUAUGCGACAUAGUGCCAUGCACCACCAAAAACAGAAGAGAGGAAGUCACACGCAUAUGCGUCACGACCAACUCAGACAAGUGGUGUAGCAGUUGGAAGUGUGCCAUAGCUAACACAGGCUCAGAUUGGGGAAAUGUGGGAUGUGAACCAUAUGAUACAACGCACCUUACGAUAACACAUAGGGACCUGAAAUCCAGACCGAGUGUAGGUAGAAAGCAGGAAGGACGACGCCAGGAACAGAAAUGUAAUCCUAUAUAUGUGACGUUGAAGGAUCCAAAACCAGAGGACGCAGGGACUUAUGUUAUGGGAUUGUAUGCUGAAGGGAAAGAUGAACACAGGUAUGGGUGUCCUGAAAGACUCUAAAGGGCCAUUAGUAAAAUAUUUGAACCUAGAGGACUUUAACAUUGAGGAAAGGUUGGAGAUGGAAACUGGUUUCACACCCUCAGGUAAUACGUGGCUCAAAAUGAUGAAAUGUACUGCUAGAACGCAUAAAAUGUCUGACUGUGUUAUCUGUGCUAAAGCAAGACCUCAUUUGGGGACAGUACCAUUCCCACUCUCACCUGUGGACGACCUUAUUGGUUAUAAUUGUAUGUUAAGUCUUUACAGUGAUGUGACCAUGGAAAGUGAUGUCUGCAGGACCCUGUCUCUCCUGUAUCCCAGAGUGCGUGCAAUACAACCGCCUCCAGGAGCGGUCGCCUACCCUGGUAACUAUACUUGCAUCACACAACCCAACAGCUCUACCAUGAAUGUGGGACACCUAGCUAAGAAGUUUCGUACGUACACCUACAACACAUCUUCGUUCGUUCCCAUGGGACACAGCCCCGCCUUAGACCAUCCUUACCUGCGCCUUAGUGUCCCUAUUAUUGCCGAUUACCAUGCUUCCUAUUAGCGCAGGGAAGCCAAUACAGUCUACCUACCACAAACAUUCCUUGAAGAGGGCUAAAAGAGACACCGACUUGGGUUUUGGUACACGGGGAGAUCCAAGCACACCGUUCGUCUAUAGAUAGUAGGGUGUAUAUAGAUGCAAUUGGAAUAACAAGGGGUGUACCAGAGGAGUUCAAAGCUCAGAAUCUGCAGAAUACUGCCCUGGAUAACUACAAACAAGAAUGCGGACUGGAUAAAUUAUAUAUACUACAACCAGCGGAGGUUUUUGAACCGGACUAGGGAUGGCCAGAGGGGUGUGUCCGAACAAUCGGCCGCCUCCUCACUCACGGCAUUUCAGAACCGUAUGGCGCUGGACAUGUUGUUGGCAGAAAAAGGGGGUGUGAAUGCCACAUGUUUGGAGAUGCCUGUUGUACAUUUAUUCCCAAUAAUACUGCCCCGGACGGUAGCAUCACUAGAGCCUCGGAGGGGUCGACCUCUCUAGCCAAUGAACUAGCAGAGAACGUUUUUGGCAAAUACAAAGCAAUUGUGCUCUCCGUGCUUAUGUCCGUGGCAGUGUUUGUGGGCAUAUUGGUGUGUUGUGGAUGCUGUUGCAUCCCUUGCACAGAUGGAUCGAUGUGGCUCUGACCAAAAAAGAUCCCCAGAAAGAUGCUCCUCCAGCCUACUCCAUGCCCCUGUCGGGGAUGGAGGAUGGUGACGAGACUGAUUCGGACAAUGAAGGAAGCGAAUCGCCAAUGUAAUGCUAUGCCAUAUUAAUCUCGCGGCCAAUUAUUUACCAGUUUGAGGGCCAUAUAAUCCUAAACUUAGUAGUAUUCACACCUGAGGUGUGAAAAGGGGGAUCUGUAAGAAA